UACAGAGGGGGCAAGCGUUGUUCGGAAUUACUGGGCGUAAAGGGCGCGUAGGCGGCCUUCUAAGUCAGACGUGAAAUCCCUCGGCUCAACCGGGGAACUGCGUCUGAUACUGAAAGGCUUGAAUCCGGGAGAGGAAUGCGGAAUUCCAGGUGUAGCGGUGAAAUGCGUAGAUAUCUGGAGGAACACCGGUGGCGAAGGCGGCAUUCUGGACCGGCAUUGACGCUGAGGCGCGAAAGCCAGGGGAGCAAAUGGG
rnacentral:rRNA from 1 species